rnacentral:lncRNA from 1 species
GCCAUUCCUCAACAAACCAUUAUACGGAGUUUUUUUCUAAACGCCUUCAGAUAUUGGGCACAUUUUUGGUAUGUAAGUUAACCAUGAUGAGUUACAUAUGAAGUUAAAAAAAAAAUCCGCUCUGCUAAUUUUGCCGAAAUUACGGGCUUUGGACUUUGAUAAAUUGUUGAAAAUCACAGUUAUACGGAGUUUUUUUCUCAACGCCUUCAGAUAAUGGGCUGAUUUUUGGUAUGUGAGUUAACCAUGAUGAGUUACAGAUCAAGUUUAAGUUUCGUUUCCUUCUGCUAAUUUUUGCCAAAAUUACAGGCUAAAUGAACUUUGAUAAAUUGUGGAAAAUCACAGUUAUACGGGUUUUUUUUUAAACGCCUUCAGAUAUUGGGCUGAUUUUUUAUAUGUGAGUUAACCAUAAUGAGUUACAGAUCAAGUUUAAGUUUCGUUCCGUUCUGCUAAUUUUUGCUGAAAUUACAGGCUUUAGACUUUGAUAAAUUGUUAUACAUUACAGUUAUACAGACUUUUUUUCUAAACUCUUUCAGAUAUUGGGCUGAUUUUUGGCAUAUGAGUUAACUAAGAUGAGUAACAGAUCAAGUUAUAGUUUUGUUCUGCUCUGCUGAUUUUUGCCGAAAUUACGGGCUAUGGACUUUGAUAAAUUAUUGAAAAUCACAGUUGUACAGACUUUUUUUCUAAACUCUUUAAGAUAUUGGGCUGCUUUUUGGUAUGUGAGUUACUCAGGAUGAGUUACAGAUCAAGUUAAAGUUUCUUUCCGCUCCGCUAAUUUUUGCCAAAAUUAAGGGUUUACAACUUUGAAAAUUGUUAAAAAACACAGUUAUACAGACUUUUUUUCUAUACGCCUCCAGAUUUUGAGCUGAUUUUUGAUAUGUGAGACUGCCAUCAUGUUUGUGUCCACAUGUGUAAUUGAAAUUGCAGAUUUUUCAACUUUUUGAAUCGGGGCCAUUCGUGUCGCUUUGACACAUCUAGUCUAGACAUUCAAUUCCAGCACACUCAUUAUUGUAAAUAACGAACAAUUUGGGGAAUAGAUCAAUAAGAAUUCAAUAAAGAAAACAAAGCAGGUAAGACAUUUAAAAUUCAAAAUAUAUAUUUCAUCAUGACACUAUUGUCAACACCAGUGAUCAGAGUCUACA